UACGGGGGGAGCAAGCGUUGUUCGGAUUUACUGGGCGUAAAGGGCGCGUAGGCGGUCAGCACAAGUCAGUUGUGAAAUCUCCGGGCUUAACUCGGAAAGGUCAACUGAUACUGUGCGACUAGAGUGCAGAAGGGGCAACUGGAAUUCUCGGUGUAGCGGUGAAAUGCGUAGAUAUCGAGAGGAACACCUGCGGCGAAGGCGGCUUCUUGGGCCUUUACUGACGCUGAGGCGCGAAAGCCAGGGGAGCGAACGGG
rnacentral:rRNA from 1 species